UACAGAGGGUGCAAGCGUUAAUCGGAAUUACUGGGCGUAAAGCGCGCGUAGGUGGCUUCGUAAGUCCGUUGUGAAAGUCAAAGGCUCAACCUUUGAAAGCUGAUGGAUACUCUGAAGCUAGAGUACGGAAGAGGCGAGUGGAAUUCCUGGUGUAGCGGUGGAAUGCGCAGAUAUCAGGAGGAACACCAAUAGCGAAGGCAGCUCGCUGGGACGUUACUGACACUGAGGCGCGAAAGCGUGGGGAGCGAACAGG
rnacentral:rRNA from 1 species